GGGCCAUAGCUCAGUGGAGGAGCACCUGUUUUACAUGUAGAAGGUCCAGGGUUCAAAUCCCUGGAAUCUCCA